UUCCUGUGGAAAGCCUCAGCUGCGCGGCGUCUGAGGGCUUCGUGCCCAAAGUGCUAUGCUUCGGCCGGCAAAAAACAGUCAACUCAGAACUGGCACGGACCGGGGGAAUCCGACUGUCUAAUUAAAACAAAGCAUUGCGAUGGCCGCUGGUCGGUGUUGACGCAAUGUGAUUUCUGCCCAGUGCUCUGAAUGUCAACGUGAAGAGAUUCAUCAAAGCGCGGGUAAACGGCGGGAGUAACUAUGACUCUCUUGAGAGGCGAAAAGAGAGGCACAGCUGACUCGGGCUGGCCAAUCGGCCAAUAUGAAUCAGAAACUGCGAGACAGUGUC
rfam:Ixodes scapularis strain Wikel colony gcontig_1108378828472, whole genome shotgun sequence.